AAGAAAUGUAAGGAAAGGCAGCAGCGGGUCGGACAGACUGAGCAUGCUCCCCUCUGCACCUCCUGGAGGACAGCAGCUCUGGCCCUUUUGGUCUGCCUGCACACUUUGAUGUCAAGAUGUUGCCAAAAUGUAUCGAAACCUAAGAAUAUUGUCAUUUGUUGGUUUUUGGAAUCAGAUUCUUUUGGCAGGUACCUCCAGAUGCUCUUCUUCAGUUCGAAACACUUCCUGUAUCGGUCAUGUGACUUUCUGAUAGCAAUACUGCACUGAUAUGGGGCUUCGCUCUAUGCAUGCACUGAUGCAUCGGUGUUGCCGACCAAUCACUAUUAGAAACUCUUAGGUUGUUGUUAGCAGUUAGCUACCGUUAGCAUGGCUAGCUCAGGAACUAAAUCUUUGGUUCUACAUCAUCAGGUUCUUCCUUUGGACAUGAGGAAUAUUUUCCUUCCUGAAUCCGCUGAGAUGAAGAAUAAAACAUGAAGAAAGCAGCUGAAGCUGUGAGGAAGAGGAUGAGGAAGAGGAGGAGGAGCUGAUCUCUUCCUGAUCUCCAAGAGACUCAAACUUCCUCCUUCAGUUCAGUUCAACUCUCCAACAUUAACUCUGCUCAACAUGGACUAUUAUGGUCUGUCUCUGCUCAUCGCCUCUCUGCUAACAGGAGUCGGCUGUGAAGGACCGACUGCGGAUGAAACAGUCAAGACAUCCUUGGAGGACGGCUCCGUCUCCCUGUCCUUUAACUAUCCCAACCUGAGGCCAAGUGAUUUCUUCUUCUGGUACCGACAGAACGCAGCAGAACCUCCAGAGUUCCUGCUCUCCCACUCAGGAACUGGAAACAUAGUCAUGAAUAAAAUCCCAGAACUGAAGAUUGAAGUCAAUAAAACCCGGAUGGAUCUGCUGAUCUCCUCUGCUGCAGUGACAGACUCUGCUGUGUACUACUGCGCUGUGAGGCCCACAGUGACAGGAAACACCAGAACCCUGUACAAAAACCUGCAGUACUCCACAGCAGCCACUAGAGGGCCUCACUCCCUGUUAAACCACUAAAACCUGCAGUACUCCACAGCAGCCACUAGAGGGCCUCACUCCCUGUUAAACCACUAAAACCUGCAGUACUCCACAGCAGCCACUAGAGGGCCUCACUCCCUGUUAAACCACUAAAACCUGCAGUACUCCACAGCAGCCACUAGAGGGCCUCACUCCCUGUUAAUCCUCUGGUUGUUGAGUCUUUGGACUGAAGACAACAGAGACAUGAAGCAGUAAAGAUCAGAGACAGAGCUGCUGAGGAAGCAGAAAACUCUCUGAUUGGUCGAGUUGAAGUGGCCCCGCCCACUGACCUUCAGCUCAUCCAAUCCUCUGCCUUGUUACUCCCUUCGCUGAGAGGUUACCAGUAUUCCUCUGAAGCUGCCUCAAACUGCUCCAGGAUUUGGCUUAGUGACUCAUAUUAAGUAGCUGUAAUGACUUUGUGCCAAGGCAACAUAUUGAUACCUUUCAUAAAUUUGCAGAUCACACAGUAAGACUAUUUUAUUACUGUUGAAGAACUGACAUUACAUUGGGACUGUAGUGACUAUUUGUCCCAAAACUUAAAUUCAAAAAACUCAAAACUCAAAGGUGACCAAAACAAAAGUGAAUCCAACUGAAAUAGUCACCUGAUGCACCGUGGAUUCUGGUUUACACAGCACAAAGGAUCAAAACGUCCUUUGUGUUUUGGUCACAAAGGACGUUCUGUCCUUUGUGAAGGAUUCUGCUUCUGCUCCUAUUCCUGUUCUCUGACUGACGACUAGAGUCUGAUGUGACUGAUUCUAUAGGCUGGUAAAAAACCUUGUGACCACCACCUGCAUAAUAAGCUGCCUAAGAGACCCGCCUAUUUAUACCGUGAAAUACCCACAUCCCAACCUGAAAUUAAUUAACUAAUUAAGUGAAUUCCUAAUCAAAGAACUUAUUCUAAACAACAAGUCAAA